rnacentral:tRNA from 1 species
CGGGAUAGCUCAGCUGGUAGAGCAGAGGACUGAAAAUCCUCGUGUCCCCAAGUUCAAAUAA